UACGUAGGGAGCAAGCGUUGUUCGGAUUUACUGGGCGUAAAGGGCGCGUAGGCGGGAUGGUAAGUCUGAUGUGAAAUCUCACAGCUUAAACUGUGAAACUGCAUUGGAUACUAGUUCGGCUUGAGAGUUGGAGGGGGGACUGGAAUUCUUGGUGUAGCAGUGAAAUGCGUAGAUAUCAAGAGGAACACCAGUGGCGAAGGCGAGUCCCUGGACAACUUCUGACGCUGGAGGCACGAAAGCCUAGGGGAGCAAACAGG
rnacentral:rRNA from 1 species